UAUCCCUUCCAUUUGGGAUAAUCCUACUAUGACAUGCAUUGAUGGUGACGUCAAUGUGUGAAGCUCAUAGGACAAUAGAGGGAAGUUCGGAAAUCCAUUCAAACAAUCUGUUAGGAUACGAAUACCAUGAAGAAACGAAAGUUGAACCAUUGUAAGAGUCGUUACGAUGAACAAG
rfam:Methanococcoides burtonii DSM 6242, complete genome.